CCCUUCUGUAGGAACACCAGUCUGUUGUGAGUAGUCCCAAUUCUGGGGCCCACGUGCUUCCAAGCCAACUAAGCCGGGCAGCCUAAGCCAACGUUUCUAGCUCUGAGGCCCUAGACCAGACUCCCAGAUUCAGACUUCUGGUCUGGCAUUCUUCUUUGAGAUGUGAGGCGCUGCUGCCCAAGUCCCUAAAAUCGAUGUCUGAGACCUCCCAAGCCCCCCAGCUGCUUCCACAUGAUCCCCCAGAGCUCCAAAUAGGCUGCAGGUGCUCUGGGCUUCUAGUUUAACCCUUUCAGGAAUAACAUGGCAGGAAAGCAAGGUACAAAUGCUUAACAAAGGAAUUUAACCACAGUGACUGUACUCUUGAAGGCACUCAAGAGUUAUAACUCUUUAAAAAGUUACCGAGGUACUGAGAAGCACUCCCUCCACUUGUCUGAUCUUGCCCCUUCUGCAAGUCUGAGGUCCCCAGGCUGAGAUGCUGCAGAUCCACCUGCCAUACUGGCACCCAUGUGUAGAAAAUCCAUAGUUCGAUGGAGUCAGAGCCAGCAGCUGAGACACAAAAGUGAUGGCUCCAGUUUGCUUUGUGAUGCUUUCUGAGUGAUGUUCCUUCAAUGAGGGGGUCAAGCAACUUUCCUGGAUGGGGCAGCUAUCUGGAAUUAAAUUCAAUAAACUUGCGUUGGGCAAGGUUAAA